rnacentral:tRNA from 1 species
GCCCCCAUAGCUCAACGGAUAGAGUAGUGGCCUUCUAAGCCAUUGAUGUAGGUUCGAUUCCUGCUGGGGGCA